rnacentral:rRNA from 1 species
UAAUCGCUUAACUAUUAGGCUUCCAGGGGAUACUGUUAGACUUGGGACCGGGAGAGGUAAGAGGUACUGCAGGGGUAGGAGUGAAAUCUUGUAAUCCCUGUGAGACCACCAGUGGCGAAGGCGUCUUACCAGAACGGGUCCGACGGUGAGGGACGAAAGCUGGGGGCACGAACCGGAUUAGAUACCCGGGUAGUCCCAGCUGUAAACGAUGCUCGUUAGGUGUCAGGAACGGUGCGACUGUUUCUGGUGCCGAAGGGAAGCCGUGAAACGAGCCACCUGGUAAGUACGGCCGCAAGGCUGAAACUUAAAGGAAUUGGCGGGGGAGCACUACAACGGGUGGAGCCUGCGGUUUAAUUGGACUCAACGCCGGAAAACUCACCGGGGACGACAGCAAUAUGUAGGUCAGGUUAAAGGUCUUACCUGAAUCGCUGAGAGGAGGUGCAUGGCCGUCGUCAGUUCGUACUGUGAAGCAUCCUGUUAAGUCAGGCAACGAGCAAGACCCGUGCCCACUGUUACCAGCAUAUCCUUUAUGGAUGAUGGGGACUCUGUGGGGACCGCUGCUGCUAAAGCAGAGGAAGGUGCGGGCUACGGUAGGUCAGUAUGCCCCGAAUCUCCCGGGCUACACGCGGGCUACAAUGGUUGGGACAAUGGGUAUCUACUCCGAAAGGAGUUGGCAAUCUCUUAAACCCAAUCGUAGUUCGAAUUGAGGGCUGUAACUCGCCACUCAUGAAGCUGGAAUCCGUAGUAAUCGCGUUUCAACAUAGCGCGGUG